rnacentral:rRNA from 1 species
AGAGUUUGAUCCUGGCUCAGAACGAACGCUGGCGGCGUGCUUAACACAUGCAAGUCGAGUGCGCGGUUGUAGCAAUACAACUGGCGCACGGCGCACGGGUGCGUAACACGUGGGCAAUCUGCCCUUCGAUGGGGAAUAUCUUCGGGAAACCGAAGCGAAUUCCGCAUAACAUUCCUUGGACCUCGGUUCGAGGACUCAAAGCCGUAAGGCGUCGAAGGAGGAGCCCGCGCACGAUUAGCUAGUUGGUAGGGUAACGGCCUACCAAGGCUUUGAUCGUUAGCUGGUCUGAGAGGAUGGCCAGCCACACUGGAACUGAGACACGGUCCAGACUCCUACGGGAGGCAGCAGUGGGGAAUCUUGCACAAUGGGCGAAAGCCUGAUGCAGCGACGCCGCGUGGGGGAUGAAGUAUUUCGGUGUGUAAACCCCUUUCGACCCGGAAGAAUGCCUCGCAAGAGGACUGACGGUACGGGUAUAAGAAGCCCCGGCUAACUACGUGCCAGCAGCCGCGGUAAGACGUAGGGGGCCAGCGUUGUUCGGAAUUACUGGGUGUAAAGGGUUCGUAGGCGGUGCGGCAAGUUGGGAGUGAAAUCUCUGGGCUCAACCCAGAGGCUGCUUCCAAAACUGCUGUGCUUGAGUGUGGGAGAGGCGCGUGGAAUUGCAGGUGUAGCGGUGAAAUGCGUAGAUAUCUGCAGGAACACCCGUGGCGAAAGCGGCGCGCUGGACCACUACUGACGCUGAGGAACGAAAGCUAGGGGAGCAAACAGGAUUAGAUACCCUAGUAGUCC